rnacentral:tRNA from 1 species
GCAGUAGUGGCUCAGUGGUAGAGUUCUCACCUUCCAUUUGGGAGACCCAGGUUCUAUUCCCAGCCAGUGCA